rnacentral:rRNA from 1 species
UACAGAGGUCUCAAGCGUUGUUCGGAUUCAUUGGGCGUAAAGGGCGCGUAGGCGGUCUAGCCAGUCCGGGGUGAAAGCCUCCAGCUCAACUGGAGAAGUGCCUUGGAUACUGCUGGACUCGAGCGAGGUAGGGGUGAUGGGAACUUCCGGUGGAGCGGUGAAAUGCGUUGAUAUCGGAAGGAACGCCGGUGGCGAAAGCGCAUCACUGGACCUCUUCUGACGCUGAGGCGCGAAAGCCAGGGGAGCAAACGGG